rnacentral:sRNA from 1 species
GUCUUCGUCCGCUUCUUAUAUAAGCUGCAAGUUUAAACCAUUAGAGAGCAGACCUGAUAACAGCCUUGACUCAAGGAUACAGAGUGAAAGUCUUCAAGUUGAGAAGAAACAGUUCCACCAUGACCUCAACCUUAGUUUCAGUCAUUGUCUUGAUUCUUCACUGUAUAUACGUGAUCACAGCUCUAGAUUUGUACGGGCAUGAUACAUUAUAUGAUGGAUACGAUGGACUCUAUGGGGGCCUACCUAUGAGACCAGGAUUUGCACCCAGGCCUUACAUGAGACCCUAUGCGCCACUACCUUACGGAGGCUAUCCCUAUGCAUAUUGAUUUUCAUAAAACCCUUUUUUUUCAAUGUGAUUUUUCUGAAACAAAUUAAUCUUAGCUAUUUAUUAACGUCCAUUUUAUUGAGCUUUUUUUCGAUGCUUGUAUAUGUAAGAAUUGCCUGUAAUGUAUGAAUGUUUGUAUGUCUGACAUACAUAUAUAUAUAUAUAGGAACUAUAUGUCACGACUUCCGAAUUUGUGUAAGUCUAUAAACAUAUACAAUAACGAGCACAUCGGAAUGUUAGUUAAACUUAAGUAUGGUGUAUAGGCUUGCGACAUUUGCUAAAUUUUGUAUGUAAAAAAACCCACACCUUUAUAAUUCUGUGUAUAUUAGCCUACUUGAUUUUAUUUCAUUCCAAGCUUAUAAUGGUAUGUCCAGUUGGAGUUUCAUUUAAUUCAACAGGAACUACAGUUCCUCUGAAUGACUCAAUGUUAGAAUGUAACGUCUAUUAUCUCUGAGGAAUUCUUCUAUGUUAUUUCUCGCUUUUUAUAAAAUUCUACUCUACGUGUUAAAAGUAUGUUCAAUUUUGCAUUCUAACCUUGUAUUUUGAAGAAUGUUAUUAAAGAACUAUUGAACUUAUAAUUAAAACACAAUAUUUAUUACAUUAAA